GUCCAUGCCGUAAACGAUGUCUACUAGCCGUUGGGCCUUUGAGGCUUUAGUGGCGCAGCUAACGCGAUAAGUAGACCGCCUGGGAGUACGGUCGCAAGACUAAACUCAAAUGAAUUGACGGGGCCCGCACAAGCGGUGGAGCAUGUGGUUUAAUUCGAUGCAACGCGAAGAACCUUACCUGGUCUUGACAUAGUAAGAACUUUCCAGAGAUGGAUUGGUGCCUUCGGGAACUUACAUACAGGUGCUGCAUGGCUGUCGU
rnacentral:rRNA from 1 species